rnacentral:rRNA from 1 species
UACGUAGGGUGCAAGCGUUGUCCGGAAUUAUUGGGCGUAAAGAGCUCGUAGGCGGUUUGUCGCGUCUGCUGUGAAAAUCCGGGGCUCAACCCCGGACUUGCAGUGGGUACGGGCAGACUAGAGUGUGGUAGGGGAGACUGGAAUUCCUGGUGUAGCGGUGAAAUGCGCAGAUAUCAGGAGGAACACCGAUGGCGAAGGCAGGUCUCUGGGCCACUACUGACGCUGAGAAGCGAAAGCAUGGGGAGCGAACAGGAUUAGAUACCCU